UGCAAGUCGAGCGGACAGAAGGGAGCUUGCUCCCGGAUGUUAGCGGCGGACGGGUGAGUAACACGUGGGUAACCUGCCUGUAAGACUGGGAUAACUCCGGGAAACCGGAGCUAAUACCGGAUAGUUCCUUGAACCGCAUGGUUCAAGGAUGAAAGACGGUUUCGGCUGUCACUUACAGAUGGACCCGCGGCGCAUUAGCUAGUUGGUGAGGUAACGGCUCACCAAGGCGACGAUGCGUAGCCGACCUGAGAGGGUGAUCGGCCACACUGGGACUGAGACACGGCCCAGACUCCUACGGGAGGCAGCAGUAGGGAAUCUUCCGCAAUGGACGAAAGUCUGACGGAGCAACGCCGCGUGAGUGAUGAAGGUUUUCGGAUCGUAAAGCUCUGUUGUUAGGGAAGAACAAGUGCAAGAGUAACUGCUUGCACCUUGACGGUACCUAACCAGAAAGCCACGGCUAACUACGUGCCAGCAGCCGCGGUAAUACGUAGGUGGCAAGCGUUGUCCGGAAUUAUUGGGCGUAAAGGGCUCGCAGGCGGUUUCUUAAGUCUGAUGUGAAAGCCCCCGGCUCAACCGGGGAGGGUCAUUGGAAACUGGGAAACUUGAGUGCAGAAGAGGAGAGUGGAAUUCCACGUGUAGCGGUGAAAUGCGUAGAGAUGUGGAGGAACACCAGUGGCGAAGGCGACUCUCUGGUCUGUAACUGACGCUGAGGAGCGAAAGCGUGGGGAGCGAACAGGAUUAGAUACCCUGGUAGUCCACGCCGUAAACGAUGAGUGCUAAGUGUUAGGGGGUUUCCGCCCCUUAGUGCUGCAGCUAACGCAUUAAGCACUCCGCCUGGGGAGUACGGUCGCAAGACUGAAACUCAAAGGAAUUGACGGGGGCCCGCACAAGCGGUGGAGCAUGUGGUUUAAUUCGAAGCAACGCGAAGAACCUUACCAGGUCUUGACAUCCUCUGACAACCCUAGAGAUAGGGCUUUCCCUUCGGGGACAGAGUGACAGGUGGUGCAUGGUUGUCGUCAGCUCGU
rnacentral:rRNA from 1 species